CAAUUACUGAAGAAAAAUAUAUAUAUAUACUUUUUUUGGUAUUCAAUUGGACCAUUAAAAUUGGAUGGUCGCACGACUAUGAGUCCGCAUUGACCAGGUACUUCAGUUAAUGUUGGUUCAGUCCAGACCGGUUCGGUUCAUAGCGCCGCGCGUCAUGCGGCAGCGCCCCUCGGUCGGUUGGGCGGGAGGAGGGCUGCGUUCUGCUGGGUUCCGCGCAUAACAGACUUGGGCUUGGUGUCGCAUGGGCCACUUCAUGGUGCAGUCAUUGCAUAUCAACGUCCAGACAAGAAUACUUAUUAGAAGAAAAUAUUUUACUGAACAUUUUGGACACCAAAAAUGGAAUGAAGACAAAUAUUUGAAAUAUUUUAAAAUGAAUUUGUCAAUAUGUUUUAAAAUAUUUUGUCUAAUUCUGAU
rnacentral:lncRNA from 1 species